GUGGGGAAUAUUCGACAAUGGGCGGAAGCCUGAUCCAGCCAUGCCGCGUGUGUGAAGAAGGCCUUUUGGUUGUAAAGCACUUUAAGCGAGGAGGAGGCUCUUAAGGUUAAUACCCUUGAUGAGUGGACGUUACUCGCAGAAUAAGCACCGGCUAACUCUGUGCCAGCAGCCGCGGUAAUACAGAGGGUGCGAGCGUUGUCCGGAAUUACUGGGCGUAAAGGGUGCGUAGGCGGCUGUGUAAGUCGGAUGUGAGAUACUCUUGCUUAACGAUAGGGGUGCAUACGAAACUGCAUGGCUUGAGUGUAGGAGAGGGAAGCGGAAUUCCUAGUGUAGCGGUGAAAUGCAUAGAUAUUAGGAGGAACACCAGUGGCGAAGGCGGCUUUCUGGACUGUGUCUGACGCUGAGAUGCGAAAGCCAGGGUAGCGAACGGGAUUAGAAACCCGGGUAGUCC
rnacentral:rRNA from 1 species